CAUCGGGAGGGAAGCUUGCUUUCCUUGCCGGCGACCCGUUCACGGGUGAGUAACACGUAUGCAACCUGCCCUCUUCAGGGGGACAACCUUCCGAAAGGGAGGCUAAUCCCGCGUAUAUCGGUUUCGGGCAUCCGAGAUCGAGGAAAGAUUCAUCGGAAGAGGAUGGGCAUGCGGCGCAUUAGCUAGACGGCGGGGUAACGGCCCACCGUGGCGACGAUGCGUAGGGGUUCUGAGAGGAAGGUCCCCCACACUGGUACUGAGACACGGACCAGACUCCUACGGGAGGCAGCAGUGAGGAAUAUUGGUCAAUGGGAGAGAUCCUGAACCAGCCAAGCCGCGUGAGGGAAGACGGCCCUAUGGGUUGUAAACCUCUUUUGUCGGAGAACAAAACCCGGGACGAGUCCCGGACUGCGUGUAUCCGAAGAAAAAGCAUCGGCUAACUCCGUGCCAGCAGCCGCGGUGAUACGGAGGAUGCGAGCGUUAUCCGGAUUUAUUGGGUUUAAAGGGUGCGUAGGCGGUCCGUUAAGUCAGCGGUAAAAUUGCGGGGCUCAACCCCGUCGAGCCGUUGAAACUGGCAGACUUGAGUUGGCGAGAAGUACGCGGAAUGCGCGGUGUAGCGGUGAAAUGCAUAGAUAUCGCGCAGAACUCCGAUUGCGAAGGCAGCGUACCGGCGCCAGACUGACGCUGAGGCACGAAAGCGUGGGGAUCGAACAGGAUUAGAUACCCUGGUAGUCCACGCAGUAAACGAUGAAUGCUGGUUGUCCGGGUCGAAUGAGACCUGGGCGGCG
rnacentral:rRNA from 1 species